GCCGCCGGUGUGGCAGUGGUUGGAGCAUGACCAUGUUGAUGAUGAGCUGUCAUUCCAAGAGGUUUUCUAGAUAGAAAUUCCUUUUCAGGGAGAAUAGAGGAACGGAACCUUUUGACGUAUUCUUUAUGGCAGGAGGGUUUCAUGCCUAUAAUCCCAGCACUUGGAAGACGGAGAUAAAAGGGUCGCGGUGAAUUUGAGGACAGCCUGCACUACAGAUUUGCAUACUUGAAGCUUCCUGCUUCCUCCCCGGCCCUGCUCAAAGAUGAGGCUCUCCAUCACUAAGUCUGUUUCCCUAUCCCAGAUGAGGGGGCUUCAAAACACGCAGAGUAAACACUUGACUUUUAGGGAUUUGCUGCUACAACUGUAAUAAUGAAAUGACUGGGAUUACCACUUUCUAUCCGACUAAAAAAAGGAAUCUGAAACUCUGCCCUACAGUGAUCUGAGCAUGAGAGCAUUGAUUGAAAACUUUUUUUUCCCAGCUGAGACCUCCAAUUUACAGAAGAGCCAGGAGCCUCUAUGGGCUUUCUUCCCUACUGAUAUCAACAUCCAGCCUAUUGAAAAAGGACUUAAAACUUUGCUUGAGGUGGGAGGUGGUGAUAGUGGUACAUACUAAAAAUGUGGUUUCCAGUUCCUGAAGAGGAAAUACAGUACUGUUGACAUCGG
rnacentral:lncRNA from 1 species